UACGAGGGGGGCAAAUGUCGUUCGGAAUCACUGGGCGUAAAGCGCACGUAGGCGGACAUUUAAGUCAGGGGUGAAAUCCCGGAGCUCAACUCCGGAACUGCCUUUGAUACUGGGUGUCUUGAGUAUGGAAGAGGUGAGUGGAAUUCCGAGUGUAGAGGUGAAAUUCGUAGAUAUUCGGAGGAACACCAGUGGCGAAGGCGGCUCACUGGUCCAUAACUGACGCUGAGGUGCGAAAGCGUGGGGAGCAAACAGG
rnacentral:rRNA from 1 species